CAGAUAUUUCUUGAGCAUUGGACUCCGUUAAUGGUUGCUGCAACGUAUGGAAGCGUGAGUGUUUUGAAACUAAUAAUUUCUCAACCCAAGGUGGAUGUAAACUCUAUUGUGGCCCGGAUAAGUGCACUGCACUUCACUGUGCGGCUUCUGGUGGUUCUGUUGAUGCUUUUGAAGUUGUUAAGUUGCUUCUUUCCAUGGGCGCUGAUCCGAAGUUUGAAUACGCAAAUGGGCAUCAGUCGGUUGACGUUAUUGUCGUACCUCCAAAGCUAUCCGGAAUUAGAUCGUCUCUCGAAGAGCUUCUCGUGAACAGUUCAUCCGAUGGGUCGGUUGGGUAUCGUAAGCUAACCGUUUCCGUCAACACAUCAAGCUCUUGGUCUCCAACCCUAUCGUCAUCACCGGAUAACGGUUCACCCUGUUCUCCUUCAAAGGUAUUAGAUGAGAGUUUCCAGCCUAAUGUUGUUUGAAAGUUUAAAGACAUACAGGAUAUGAGAAGCGAGGAUUGUCAUAAAUUGGAUGUAUUUACUUCGACGAUUCCAAGGGAGCCUUGAAAUUGAAGAAACACAAUUGCUUAAAAAGCGAAAUUAAAUAGAUGGAAACCAUGACAGGAAAAAAAGUUGAGCUAGAAGCUAUGCAGAAAUAUUUUGACACCAACGAAGCUGAGAUGCGAAUAAAUCAGUUUUGUAUGCUACUAUAUAAAUCAUUUUUUGUCAGGUUGGUGACUUCGCGAUAGCAGCUGUAACUGCUAUCCAUGUAAGUAUUAAUCAUCUUCGAGCAAAGCCGACAACUCAGCGUAUUAACUCUCGCAUGCAGCCAAAUGAUGAAGUCUACCAUCUCUUCCAUCUUUGUGAAUCUUCUAUACAAUUUAUCCAAUCACUUUACAAACACAUGUUAUUCCGGGAGCGCCUCGCUGAAAAUAAGGAACUAUGUGGAGCAAGUGCUAUUCUUCAGUUGGUUCAAAACACCUUAAAACUGCCAGAACAUGAUGAUCCACUUCUUGCAAGUGUUGUUGAUAGGCUUAAAUCAAAAGUUUUAUCUAUAGUAAGCCCAAUCAUGUGUAGACAUUAUCUACAUAAGUAAGGGAACGUUUUUUUUAUUUCAAGGUUUAUGCUUAAAUGUA